rnacentral:rRNA from 1 species
CCUACGGGGGGCUGCAGUGGGGAAUAUUGGACAAUGGGGGCAACCCUGAUCCAGCCAUGCCGCGUGUGUGAAGAAGGCCCUCGGGUUGUAAAGCACUUUCAGUGAGGAAGAACGCCUGGUGGUUAAUACCCAUCAGGAAAGACAUCACUCACAGAAGAAGCACCGGCUAACUCCGUGCCAGCAGCCGCGGUAAUACGGAGGGUGCGAGCGUUAAUCGGAAUUACUGGGCGUAAAGCGCGCGUAGGUGGCUUGAUAAGCCGGUUGUGAAAGCCCCGGGCUCAACCUGGGAACGGCAUCCGGAACUGUCAAGCUAGUGUGCAGGAGAGGAAGGUAGAAUUCCCGGUGUAGCGGUGAAAUGCGUAGAGAUCGGGAGGAAUACCAGUGGCGAAGGCGGCCUUCUGGACUGACACUGACACUGAGGUGCGAAAGCGUGGGUAGCAAACAGGAUUAGAUACCCCUGUAGUC